AGAGUUUGAUCAUGGCUCAGAAUCAACGCUGGCGGCGCGCUUAACACAUGCAAGUCGCACGAGAAAGGGGCAACCUGAGUAAAGUGGCGCACGGGUGAGUAACACGUGGAUCAUCUACCUUUUAGUGGGGAAUACCCCCGGGAAACUGGGGACAAUUCCGCAUAAUCUCGCGAGAGGAAAGCAGCAAUGCGCUGAAAGAG
rnacentral:rRNA from 1 species